AGAGUUUGAUCAUGGCUCAGAUUGAACGCUGGCGGCAGGCCUAACACAUGCAAGUCGAGCGGUAACAGANAGUAGCUUGCUACUUUGCUGACGAGCGGCGGACGGGUGAGUAAUGCUUGGGAACAUGCCUUGAGGUGGGGGACAACAGUUGGAAACGACUGCUAAUACCGCAUAAUGUCUACGGACCAAAGGGGGCUUCGGCUCUCGCCUUUAGAUUGGCCCAAGUGGGAUUAGCUAGUUGGUGAGGUAAUGGCUCACCAAGGCAACGAUCCCUAGCUGGUUUGAGAGGAUGAUCAGCCACACUGGGACUGAGACACGGCCCAGACUCCUACGGGAGGCAGCAGUGGGGAAUAUUGCACAAUGGGCGCAAGCCUGAUGCAGCCAUGCCGCGUGUGUGAAGAAGGCCUUCGGGUUGUAAAGCACUUUCAGUCAGGAGGAAAGGUUAGUAGUUAAUACCUGCUA
rnacentral:rRNA from 1 species